rnacentral:rRNA from 1 species
UACGGAAGGGGCAAGCGUUGUUCGGAAUCAUUGGGCGUAAAGGGCGUGUAGGUGGUUCUGUAUGUCUACCGUGAAAGCGUACGGCUCAACCGUAUUUAGUCGGUAGAAACUGCAGGACUUGAGGCUGGGAGGGGCUGGUGGAAUUCCCCGUGUAGCGGUGAAAUGCGUAGAGAUGGGGGAGAACACUCGUGGCGAAGGCGGCCAGCUAGACCAGUUCUGACACUGAGGCGCGACAGCGUGGGGAGCGAACAGG